AUUGAACGCUGGCGGCAGGCCUAACACAUGCAAGUCGAGCGGAUGAAGGGAGCUUGCUCCUGGAUUCAGCGGCGGACGGGUGAGUAAUGCCUAGGAAUCUGCCUGGUAGUGGGGGAUAACGUCCGGAAACGGGCGCUAAUACCGCAUACGUCCUGAGGGAGAAAGUGGGGGGUCUUCGGACCUCACGCUAUCAGAUGAGCCUAGGUCGGAUUAGCUAGUUGGUGGGGUAAAGGCCUACCAAGGCGACGAUCCGUAACUGGUCUGAGAGGAUGAUCAGUCACACUGGGACUGAGACACGGUCCAGACUCCUACGGGAGGCAGCAGUGGGGAAUAUUGGACAAUGGGCGAAAGCCUGAUCCAGCCAUGCCGCGUGUGUGAAUAAGGUCUUCGGAUUGUAAAGCACUUUAAGUUGGGAGGAAGGGCAGUAAGUUAAUACCUCGCUGUUUUGACGUUACCAACAGAAUAAGCACCGGCUAACUUCGUG
rnacentral:rRNA from 1 species